GGGAAACGGACCAGGUGAAACUGACCAGCUCAGCGUUCGCGGGCGGCGGGCGGGCGACUCUCAGGUCCCGGGCGGGCGCGGGUCCGGGCAACGGCGGCGGCAGGUCCCGCAGCCUGGCGGGCAGCACGCGCGCCACGGCCGCCUUGGCCACCAGGUAGAGCAUCUGGAGCGGGAACAGCACCAGCGCGCCCAGCCACUUCCAUCCCAUCCUCCGCCGCGCCGGGGCCGGGCAGGGCGGGGGGCGAAACUCCCCGCGCCGCCGGGCAAAACAGGAAUCGAAAAAAGAAGAAAACACCUCUCCACAAACAAUAAUAAAUACAACGGGACGGGGGGCGGAGAGGCGUCCCACCUGGCCGCGCUGGAAACCACCUCUCCCCGAGUGCACGGCACCGGGCGAGGAAAAGA